GUAGGGUGCAAGCGUUAAUCGGAAUUACUGGGCGUAAAGCGAGCGCAGACGGUUAUUUAAGUCAGGUGUGAAAUCCCCGAGCUCAACUUGGGAAUGGCGCUUGAAACUGGGUAACUAGAGUGUGUCAGAGGGAGGUAGAAUUCCACGUGUAGCAGUGAAAUGCGUAGAGAUGUGGAGGAAUACCGAUGGCGAAGGCAGCCUCCUGGGAUAACACUGACGUUCAUGCUCGAAAGCGUGGGUAGCAAAC
rnacentral:rRNA from 1 species